GGUUUUCGAUUAAAUAUGAAGCAGACAGCGUCGUUUUAUUCGAGUUGAUAGAGUUAAAUAUGCCCGAGAUCUUUCUCGGCGGUGAUGGUCGGAGCCGGAUCUUCUUUUACGCGGAGGCCAACGGCGGCUCCAGCGGAGGGGGAAACGCCCUCAUUCCCUCCUCUUUCAAUGUCGGAAUAGCCAUUGUUGUCACGGCCAUGGCCAGUCUCGCGCUCGCCGCCACCCUCGUCUACUCCUCCCGUAGGUAAAGACGAACACCAAUCAAAUCAAAUCAAUCAUGACUUUUCAUCAUCGAAAUUGAUUUUUAGUUGUAACCCUAGCAGACGGAUUUGGGAGUUUUUUUUUUUGUUGUAUAGGUUUGAAUUAGAUGAAGUAGACACA
rnacentral:lncRNA from 1 species